AAUAACGUGUGCUCUCAAAUACAUUGUGAUUUGAUGACUGUAUUUUAUUUAUAGGAAAGCAGAAAACAAAAACAUAAACGUUCUCUCUCUGUUUUCCCUUCCCAAGGCCGUGGUCCUUCCUGGUACCCCCAUAUGGGGUUGGUCUGUGUGCACAGGCGUUGGUUCCAUGUCAGGGUGCUGCUCUGUACCCAUCCGAUUCCCAUGUGCUCCUCUUUGCUGCUGAACACGUGUGUAUCUCAUGUCAUCUCGAGGACUGAGGACGAAUGCCUUAGCUCCAGCUCUCCAGCCCAGGCUCCCACACCCAGCCCGUCUCUGCGCAUCACCCCAAUCCUGACAUUGAACUCACAGCAACCCGGACUGAGAAGACUGCCAAAAAAUCUCCAGCUAUUCUUCUUCAUCCUCACUAACAAUUUGGUAAUGAAGUAUUGAUUUCCACUCUCCUGCUUAUGGACGAUAUUAGAUUUUCAUUGAUAAACUGCACUGGGGCUGUCUGGUCUCCACUGUCCCUUUUUGCUGUCGCUAAAACAAAGUGCCACUGAAGUAAGAUAAUGACUGAGAACAUUGAUGUACUUAUUUCGUCAAUUUGUAACACUUGACAGGAAAAAAAAAUUCUUCAUAGUUUAAUGUCCAACUGUUCUACACAAGAUGCAGUCACAUUGGAAGCUUUACUUUUCAUGGUAAUGUCCAUUUCCUAUUUAUAACCCCUUUGGGAUAGUUUGUCUAAAGGAAAUGUUUCUAUUCAGUGCAGCUAUUACUGUUGCACCUGGGUUGCCCAAUCCAGUCAUUGCACUAGGGAUCAAUACAUCACAGUAAGUACAAGAAUUAUUAAGUUAAAACAGAUUCUGAGCCAAAAAAACCUCUGAACAAUGUUAAUCUUCUGUGCAAGUUGUUCAAAUAGUUAUGCUUAACCAUGUUGCUGCCAAAGAUUUGUUUGAAAUGGAUUAUUUGCAGUUUGUUUUAUUCCUCAGAUAUAUAUAUAUAUUUAAAUCUCCGUUACGGUUUAUGACGAGACACGCGAUGGAGUGAUUUUUAGACAGAAGUACUAUUGUUAGAUUAUUGAACGUUAUAUGAAUAUAGGUAUAUCUAUAUAUAAAUAUCACUAUAUAAAUAUCUAUAUAUAGAUAUAAGAUAAUAAAGUACAGAUCCUUUCUCGGUUAGGUGCGUGUAAAUCCGGAUCUCAGUCGGAGCCAAUGGAGCCCCUUUGGGUUCACAGCCUGGUGUGAGGUCAGGGGCUGCUGUCCACAAUGUUGGCCCGGCCCAGGGGAAGGGCUGAGGAUGGCAACUUCAAAUCAGUGCUCUUAACUUUUUUCAUUAAAACUUUGAGCUCCUGAUUUUAAUUUGUGGAAUAUUCACGUUAAUAAUGAGAUCUAAUUAAGACAUCCAUUAAAAGCCCGUUAAAGUUAAUUUAACGUAAAAAUUCCAAUAGAACUGUAUUAGAUUUUCUCCAUUAAAUUAACGUUAUGGAUUUUUAACGGAUGUCUUAAUUAUACAUUAUUAUUAACGGGAAUACUGUAUUACACAGAUUAAAAUCGGGUCCCGAGUCAACUCACAAAAGCUUGCUGGGCGUGCUGAUGCCACCAGCCCCCGUGACCCAACGCGCUGCCUGCAGAGCCCUGCCUGCUCCAGCUGAGCGUUUCCUGGCAGAUGGAGCAACCUGCAGCAGACAAAUCCAUCUCUGCAUUUAGCAGUGAACUUUCCUGAGUCUCAAAGGCAAGAUAAGUCUGGAUCCAGUUGCAAACCGCUACUCCAUUGCAAAUGAAAUAUUCAAAGUACGCUAGGCACAAUUUGAGAAUUGGAUUUUCCUCAUGCAAGAGAGAGGGCUUGGGGGUGUCUUUUACUAUCAUAUUUUAGGCAUUCCAGGAUAAAAUUGAAGCGCAGCAUUCACAACGUCGGACUGAAUGUGUUUACUGUAUCCCCCCCUGCUUUUGCGCGUGGGCCUCUUUUGGAGAUGUUUGGGAAAUUUUGACAUGAUCCCUAAAUUCAACGUGGAGGAGAAAAAAAAGGCCCUUCUUAUUUACCUCCUAGGGAAAGAGUUGCCCUUAUGCCACAUAUAAUAGCAAAUUGCUUUUUUUAUGGCAUGCAUAACCUAGAUGGGAAAAAAUAUGGCGCUUGAGGGAAGGAGGGAAAAAGUAAAUGAAGUUCCAGGAAUGUCAUUCUGAAGUAAUGAGGCAUGGACAGAAAAUAUACCCCUCACAUCAUCGGAUUGAGAUGGCAGUCGAAAUAGCUUCAUUGAAGUGUCAGCACUCAUCCAUCAAUCAAUCAUCCACAAGGAAAAAUAGCGACAGUACAACGGGGCGGCUUUUAUGGGAUUUACUCAUGGGCAUAGGGAAUAGCAGCUCAAAUGUAGUUCUGACAUGAAAAGCAAGGUGCUGAUAUUAUUUUUUAUGAUGGGAGGAUCAUAAAGUGAAUUGAGAACAGUGAGGUCUGUCUUUGCUUAACCUAUUCAACUGGAAAUGAACGGAGCUCAACUGGAAACGAGCAGAGCCUUCAGAUGGGUUAAGAUUGAAGCCCGCGCCGUGCUGAGUGCCGUCCAUUGACAACAAAAUUCUAUUAAAGCAAAAUCAAUGCAUUAGCAUCGAGCUCUGCAGAAGCUGUUAAAUUGCACAGCCCAGUUCAGAGUUAUUAAGUGAAGUUACACAAGGUGAGGGCCCGCAGCGCAGACCCAAAGGCAGCGCCGCAAUAAAAUGCC
ensembl:lncRNA